rnacentral:rRNA from 1 species
AUUGAACGCUGGCGGUAUGCUUAACACAUGCAAGUCGAACGGCAGCACAGUAUGUAGCAAUACAUAUGGGUGGCGAGUGGCGGACGGGUGAGUAACGCGUAGGAAUCUACCCUAAAGCGGGGGACAACCCGAGGAAACUCGGGCUAAUACCGCAUAAUCUCGAAAGAGUAAACCUGGGUCAACCUGGCCCUUUAGGAGGAGUCUGCGUCCGAUUAGCUAGUUGGUGAGGUAAAGGAUCACCAAGGCGAUGAUCGGUAGCUGGUCUGAGAGGAUGAUCAGCCACACUGGGACUGAGACACGGCCCAGACUCCUACGGGAGGCAGCAGUGGGGAAUAUUGGACAAUGGGGGCAACCCUGAUCCAGCAAUACCGCGUGUGUGAAGAAGGCCUUAGGGUUGUAAAGCACUUUAGUUGGGGAAGAAGGAUAGUUGUUUAAGAGAUGAUUAUUUUGACGGUACCCAAAGAAUAAGCACCGGCUAACUCUGUGCCAGCCGCCGCCGUAA